AGAGACAGAAUGUAUAUGUACUAGUGAAAGUACAUAUACAUAACUGCCUCCAAUGACAGUUGAAUGUAAAUAAAAUAUAAAUAAAGAUCUUCGGGAACUUUUUCCCGAAUAUUUUAAUUAUUUUAUUAUUUGCUAUUAGUAAAUAAAAGCUAAGUAAAUUUGCUAUCGGUUUGCUUUUCCUCGAUGCGAUUCUCCUCUCCUUUCGGCUCGGAACAGCCUCCGUCGUCUGGCCAGCAAAGCAGCAUAGUCGUGUUUGCAGACAAAAAUAUUAGUGAAGCGAUCCUGACAAAGGUUUGCACUAUCGCUUUCAGCGACGCACCUCUUCUUUCGGCUCGGAUCAGGUUUCGUUGUCUGGCCACUUCCAAAGAAAUGAAGCGAAGUACGAUGAAAAUUGAGAAAUGGUCUAGUAUGUGGUGUUGCAGAAACAAAUGCAUCCGGAAGAGCAUCCAUCCAUCCGGUGCGGCCAUUUGCUUCCGGUCCAUUAGCAGGACAAGUUCCAAGCACUUGAGGAGCAACAAUAUGUACAAAACUAAAUAAAAAUCAAUUUAAAAUUGA